rnacentral:rRNA from 1 species
GUAGGUGGCAAGCGUUGUCCGGAAUUAUUGGGCGUAAAGCGCGCGCAGGCGGUUCUUUAAGUCUGAUGUGAAAGCCCACGGCUCAACCGUGGAGGGUCAUUGGAAACUGGAGAACUUGAGUACAGAAGAGGAAAGCGGAAUUCCACGUGUAGCGGUGAAAUGCGUAGAGAUGUGGAGGAACACCAGUGGCGAAGGCGGCUUUCUGGUCUGUAACUGACGCUGAGGCGCGAAAGCGUGGGGAGCAAACAGGGAUUAGAUACCCUGGUAGUCCACGCCGUAAACGAUGAGUGCUAAGUGUUAGGGGGUUUCCGCCCCCUUAGUGCUGCAGCUAACGCAUUAAGCACUCCGCCCCGGGGUAGUACGCCCGCAAGGCUG